rnacentral:rRNA from 1 species
AGUGAGGGUAAUUCUUGAAACCUAAAAUAUUUGGCGGUUUUUUGAGCCUAUUAGAGGAAUCUGUUCUGUGAUUGAUGGUCCGCUGUUGGUUUAACUUUUUUGUAUAUCGCCGUCGAUGACAGGUCAAGGUGCAGCUAAUGUUGGAGGAUGAAGGUGGAUUUAUAGGUUUAAGAUGUCUAUUUGGGCUCCAGGAAAUGU